GUGUUGGUGUUCUGUGGUGUGUCGUCGUAGCCUCAACGGGCUCGUCGCUUUGUCUGCGCGCUCAGCGCUGCGUGAUCGGCGUGCUUUCCACGUUUCUUGAUUACUCACGGUUAUUGCGUGGUUCAAUCGAGUGCAUCUACUCAGACAGUCCACCGCCCAGUGCCUUGUCUGACGACGACGGCGACUGUAAAGCACAAGCGUGCGCCUCAGCGGAUGCCUAGGUAAGGCAGCCCGGGUGGCGUGUUCACACAGCAGUGAUGAUGUACGAGAAAAGUUGUCUGAUAGGCAAGUAUGGAUUCUGCUACAGAAUGGCCCACGAACCCAACUUCCGAGCGGCAGACCUACCGGCCGAACAUCGGAGUGACCCGCCUGUGCGCAGCUUGAUCUGCCU
rnacentral:lncRNA from 1 species